rnacentral:snRNA from 1 species
AGCUUUGUGAAGUGACAGUAUCAUAACCAUGAGGUUUAGCUAAGGUGUGAUUAUUGCUAGCUGAAAACAUUUCCCAAUACCCUGCUGUGACAACUUGAAAUAAUAUAUUUUA